rnacentral:rRNA from 1 species
CUGUUUCUCUCCUGCAGCUUCACGCAGCGGCUCUGGACGGCGUUCCAGGGGUGGACGGGUGUUUCCUUCCCUACGCCGGCUAGCAGUUUUGAGUGCUCCGAGUCAUGGUGGCUAGAGGCGAGAAAAGCAAUCCCGAAGCAGAUGCGCCGAGACUUCGACACCAUUGUCAUUCUCAUCCAUUGGAGGAUCUGGAAGGAGCGGAGCGCUCGAAUUUUCCAGCAGACGGCUUGUAAUAUUGACAGGGUCCUAGACCUCAUUAGAGAGGACUUAGGUGUGUGGAGAUCUGCGGGGUGUGUAGCAGACCUGGGUAGCUGA